UCAUGCAACCGUGGUGUAGUUCGUCUAUAGCCUAACGUUAGCUUUUUACUUCUGGCGAUUGCAUUCACACUUCAAAAAUCAUAAAAGUACAGUAGUGUUGAAUUGUGAUGAUUAUCUUGCUGAAAAAAAACGCGUAAGUAUCAUAAACGUGUGUUUGCCACAGAGCUUAUUUUCUGCAAUAAUCUAAAACCCAAUACAAAUUCUACAUUGGCUUUUUGUCAAGUGAACCCAGGGCGAUUCUGACUUAAAGUUGGCCUACAAAAUGACAUCAUCCCUGCAGCACUCUAUUGCAGCACCAAACAGGAAGCGGCAAACGGGAUGGAAAGUAAACAUGGGGAAACUGGUGGAGUUGUGUAGUGAACAAGAGCGCCUUUUUGACGUGUCCUCCCAUCUGUACCACGAUAGAGUGGAGAAGGAAAAAAUCUGCAGCUCUCGAAAUCCCCGGAGCAGGAUGUGACAUCAUCUCAAAAGGAAUUUAGUUGUAGAUUUUGUGGAAAUUCUGCUCUCGAGAUACGAAGAAAGCCGACACGAUGACUGUGAAAGUCGCCUUUCUGAACACUUUGAGCUUUGAAGUCCACUGGAUAGAACAAGAUCUAAUAAAUCUACCCGAGCUCUCUUAGUGUUAGUCAAAUAGCCAAAAGAAAUUAAUGCUGUGUCUGUGGCACCUUUCAUCAUACAGCACGCUCACAUGAGCAAUGCUUUUUUUUGCCACUUGUUUCAGUUCAGUAGGCAAUUUCUUUCCAUAUAAAAUGGCUGUUUUCUUGGUAGUAAGCAAACAAAGAGUGGCACAUAUUCAUAAUAUCUACUCUUACAUUUCAUCCUCCCCCAGUACUGAGCAUGUGAUGUUACACAUAUCAGAUUAAUAUCCAGUGACCACAUCUGGAAAUUCAACAGAGCUUGUGUGCGGCUACAAAGCCAGAGUGAAGAGAAAAAGGAUUCCACAGCUUUGUGAAGAGAAAGGGGUAUGUGAACGGACUUCACUAAAAUAUUUGCAAGAGUCAUGCUAAAAACAUCUCACUUCAUUAGCCGUGUUUACCUCCAGCUCCCGGGCCAGACAGACUCACAAUAACAGGAGGAAACCUUCAGCACUCACCAGAUCCAUACUCUGGUGGGGAAUAACAAAUAGGUCAUUGUUAAGCACCACCGACACCCACAGCCAAAACUAACACUUACUUACUGAGUAGACACAGUGGGAGAAGGGGGCAGAGGGAUUCUGGGCCUGCUCGUGGUAUUUCUUACAGUGCUGGGAAAAAGUAGUGAUGCAGCCUAUACUACAAAUUGAAACAUGUUUGAACAUUUGGUCACAGUCACACAUUUCCUGUGCUGUGAGAAGCCUGCUCUGGUGGCCUUGGUGUGUCUCCAGGGCUCCCACGGUGUGUUAAGUUUGUGCCCGGGUCAUCCAUCACACGAGAUCCUCGGUGGCGGAGGGACUCAUCUCUCACACCUGCUGAGACUCAAUCUGGAGGCUGGAAGGACUCUCCAUUGUGCCUUGCAGCGUCCUGUAGCCCUCCGGUUGCGUUUUAUAGCACCUUUGUUAUGGCACUGGGAUGUGGUACUGAGCUAAACAUUGUGAUAAACCACGAUUGGCCUCCAUAUAUGGGGUUAAUGUAUACAUUAAAGUGGCAGUAGGCAGAAUAGUUUUUGGCAUCAUUGAGCAAAUAUUCCCUAAUCACCUUUCAGCAUCUUGUAAUUCAAGUGUUCUGAGAGAAAACUAGACUUCUGCACCUCCUCAUGGCUCUGUUUUCAGGCUUAAGAAAAU